rnacentral:tRNA from 1 species
GGCCCAUUCGUCUAGUGGCCUAGGACACCGCCCUCUCACGGCGGCCCUCUCACGGCGGCGGCACGGGUUCGAAUCCCGUAUGGGCCU